GCAUAUCAAUAAGCGGAGGAAAAGAAACCAACAGGGAUUCCCCUAGUAACGGCGAGUGAAGCGGGAACAGCUCAAAUUUGAAAUCUGGCCCUCGGGUCCGAGUUGUAAUUUGUAGAGGAUGCUUUUGGUGCGGUGCCUUCCGAGUUCCCUGGAACGGGACGCCUUAGAGGGUGAGAGCCCCGUACGGUUGGACGCCUAGCCUCUGUAAAGCUCCUUCGACGAGUCGAGUAGUUUGGGAAUGCUGCUCUAAAUGGGAGGUAUAUUUCUUCUAAAGCUAAAUACUGGCCAGAGACCGAUAGCGCACAAGUAGAGUGAUCGAAAGAUGAAAAGCACUUUGAAAAGAGGGUUAAAUAGCACGUGAAAUUGUUGAAAGGGAAGCGUUUAUCACCAGACUUUUUCUGGGGGGAUCAUCCGGUGUUCUCACCGGUACACUUCCCCCAGUUGAGGCCAGCAUCGGUUUUCGGAGGGGGAUAAAAGCUUCGGGAAUGUGGCUCCCUCGGGAGUGUUAUAGCCCGUUGCAUAAUACCCUUCUGGGGACCGAGGUUCGCGCAUCUGCAAGGAUGCUGGCAUAAUGGUGAUCAACGACCCGUCUUGAAACACGGACC
rnacentral:rRNA from 1 species